rnacentral:rRNA from 1 species
GUGGGGAAUAUUGGGCAAUGGAGGAAACUCUGACCCAGCAACGCCGCGUGAAGGAUGAAGGUUUUCGGAUUGUAAACUUCUGUUGCGAGGGAUGAAGAAUGACGGUACCUCGUGAGGAAGCCCCGGCAAACUACGUGCCAGCAGCCGCGGUAAUACGUAGGGGGCAAGCGUUGUCCGGAAUGACUGGGCGUAAAGGGAGUGUAGGCGGCCUUUUAAGUUAUAUGUGAAAGCCCCCGGCUUAACCGAGGAACUGCAUAUAAAACUGGAGGGCUGGAGUGCAGGAGAGGUAAGCGGAAUUUCUAGUGUAGCGGUGGAAUGCGUAGAUAUUAGGAAGAACACCGGAGGCGAAGGCGGCUUACUGGACUGUAACUGACGCUGAGGCUCGAAAGCGUGGGGAGCAAACAGGA